rnacentral:piRNA from 1 species
GUAGCAAAGAAGAAAGUCAGCAGUGGCC